rnacentral:tRNA from 1 species
AGGUGGCUAGUUUAACAAAAACAUUUGAUUUCGGCUCAAAACUCGUGGUUAGAGUCCACACUCACCUU